AUGCCUUGAGUGUAGGACCGU
rnacentral:miRNA from 1 species